rnacentral:lncRNA from 1 species
GGAGGCCUUCAUGCUCCUAAGCUGCUUGCGAUGAUAGAGUUUCCGAAUCGACGAUUGACUUGGUUAAACUUGAUCUAGCGCAUUUGAAGUAUCUAAAACAUAAAUUUUAUGAUUUUUCGAUAUCAUUACCUACCGAUCGAAAGAGUUCAAAAUCCAUGACUGAAAAUAAAAAUCUCACAGAAAGAAGUGAUAUAAUAUUAAAACUUUUGAUCAGAGAUAUUGAUCUUCCUGUAAAUACUAUAAAAAAUUUUCUAUCAAAAUUUCAUCUGAUUUGAAUACUUCUAUCCCGUUAAAUUUGCAAACGGUAUAUAUUAACCAUUAAAAAUUGUUGAUUUUGAACUCUUUUGAUCGUUGGGUAAAUGAUAUUGAAAAAUCACAAAAUUUAUUUUCUAAAUAUUUCAAAUAUGUUAGAUCAAGUCUAACGAAACUAAUCGUUAAUUCAAAAGCUCUAUCAUCAAAAAUGGCUCUGGAGUACAGAGGCCUCUGUGCUCCUAAACAAGACCUACUUUUAUAUAUAUAUAUAGAGUAGGGCUGCUAUGCUCUCAAGCCUCCGUGCUCCUGAGCCGUUUUCGAUGAUGAAAUUUUCGAAUCGACGAUCGGCUCGUUAGACUUGAUCUAGAAUAAUUAAAGUUUCUAGAAAAUAAUUGUUGCGAUUUUUUGAUAUCAUUUACCUAGCAAUCGAAAGGAUUCAAAAUCAAUAAUUUUUAACGGCUGAAAAUAAAAAUCAUAUAAAAAGUGGUGAUAUAAUAAUAAAAUUUUUUAUCAGAAAUAUUGAUCUUGUUGUAGAUAGUAUAAAGAAUUUUGUAUCAAAAUUUCAUCCGAUUUGAAUAAUUUUAUACCGUUAAAUUCGAAAACAGCAUAUAUCAACCAUUAAAAAUUAUUGCUGUUGAAUCCUUUCGAUUACUAAGUAAAUGAUAUCAAAAAAUUACAAAAAUUAUUUUCUAGAAACUUCAAAUACCUUAGAUCAAGUCUAACGGAGCCGAUCGUCGAUUCAAAAAUUCCAUCAUCGAAAACGGCCUCCGUGCUCCUGAGAGCACAGCAGCCCUACUAUAUAUAUAUAUAUAUAUAUAUAUAUAGUCUGACUAUUAUACUCUUAUGAGUACAAUCGCCUCCGUAUUCAUAAGUUGUUUUCGAUGAUAGAACUUCCGAAUCGACGAUCCACACCGUUAAACGUUAUGCAGAGUAUUUAAAGCGUCUAGAAAUUAAAUUUUAUAAUUUUUCAACAUCAUUUACCUUAAGAUCAAAAGUUCACAAAAUUGACAAUUUUUAACGGACGGUAUGGAAUAUUUGCUAAUUUAACGGUAUAAAAGAAUCAAAAUCUGCUGAAUUUUUUAUAGAAAAUUCUAUUCACUACAUAGAUAAAGAUCAAUAACUCCGAUCUUAAAUUGAAGAAUCAGAUCAUCCAUUUAUAAGGCAUCGUUCGAUUUUGACCGUUAAUUUACAUCCGCUUGAUGACCUUUAUUAUGAUUUCUAAAAAUUACGAAAUUUAUUUUCUAGAAGUUUCAAAUACUCUAGAUCAUAUUUAACGGAGUGGAUCGUCGAUUCGGAAGCUCCAUUAUUGAAAAUAACUUAUGAGUACAAAGUGCUCUAUACUCAUCAAAAAGUAGAUCCAAUGGCUAAAAACGUGAUAGCAACAUGGAGAUGAUACUUGUAAAAGUAUCCUAGAUCAACUCCUAUAUAUAUAUAUAUAUAUAAUUGAGCUAAAAAAUACUUUUAGAAGCACCACCUUUUUGGUACUUCUAAAUUUUUAACCCUUGGAUCUACUCCUUGAUUAUUAAUAAACUUUGGAUUAAACACUAUUUUACCUACCAUCAUUUACCACCAUCAUCCCAAUUCUAUAUUUCUUCAUCCAAUGGCUAAAAACUCAAAAGCACCACCUCUUUGGUGCUUUUGAAAGUAUUCUAGCUCAACACACACCACACACGAACUUCUCUUCUUUUUCUCUCUCUCAUCUCUUCUCUCUAUCUUCUCUCUUUAUAAUUAAAAUAUCUAUAUUUAUAUAUCAUAUUUAAAAAUUGAUUAUGCUUUUAAAAUACCAGUUUUUCGGUGCUUGUAGAUUUUUUAGUAUUGCGUUAGGAUAUCGCGGUUAGGAUGAUGUGGGCCUCUAGGGAUAGUGAGUUGGUUGUUGAAAGUAUUUCUAAUAGUUGAAAAUUAUCGAGAAUUAGUUUAAUGGUAAAAAACUUGCAAAGAACUAAUGCUUAGCUGUUUUCAAGGCUAUAGCCAGGAAUCUCUUUAUAUAUAUAUCCGUAGGAUAUAUUACGAUAGCAUCAAAGAAUUGGAUUAUUAAAAGUUUUCCAUCGUUUAGAUUACCCAGUUUAUUUUUUAACUGUUAGAUAUAUUUCGCUACACUUCAUCAACCUAGGGGCCACGAUAUUUAACCCACAUUUUCAAUACAUGGCUAAACUUAAUAGCACAAAUCUGUUCGGAUAUUAAUAGGAUUCGCUAGUUUUAUAUAUAUAUAUUAGUAUAAUAUAUAUAUAUCUAUUUAUAUAUAUAUAUGUCGGUUAUAUUUAACUAUCCGGGUAGCAUGGAACGUCGUUUACAAAGUUGUUUUCGAUGAUGAGUUCCAAAUCGACGAUCGGCUCCGUUAGAAUUAUUACCUAUUUGAAGUAUUAGAAACUAAUUUUCAGAUUUUUUCAAAAUCUAUUGAUAUGUGAUUCAAACAUCUCAAAUUGACCAAUUUAAUGGCCGUUGUAGUGUGUUUGAGAGUUUACGGUGAAACAUCAAAUCGAUGAAUUUUAUAGAAAUUUAUUAACUAUUAGUAGUAAGAUAAUUAUUUAUUAUGAUUUAAUCUUGGAUCAUCAUUUUUAUGAAUUUUAUUUUCAGCGUUUCAUUUAGGACUUAUUGUUUAUAGGAAAAUGGUAUUGUAAAAUUAUGAAAUUUGUUCAUAAAUAUUUUAAUGUGUAGAUCAAGUCUAACGGAGUCGAUGUCAAUUCGAAGUUGAAUAUUAAAACAGAUUGGUAGCCGGAGCGCUCUUGCUAUCUUUAGUUAGUUUCUAUAUAUAUUAUUAUUUAUACUAUAAUAUAUAUAUAUAUAUAUAUAUAAUUUGAAAUUGUCUUUUAAUUUCAUAUAUGAAUUUGAAAUUUUUUAAACCUUGUUUUACCAUAUUAUGCAAAACAAUCCUUAUUUUCUAAAAUCAAUUGCAAGAUAAAAUUUUAAAUAUUUUAUACUUUAAAAUUUAUUUAUUUAUUUAUUUUUGAGAGAUAGGUAGCACGCUACCCGCUUCGUUUAUAUACUUUAAAAUUUAUCGAUGUCUCUCUUCAGCAAGUAUUCUAUAUAAAGUCACACAUGCAGAUCUUCCUAUUUAGAAUUUUUAUCUUUGUAUAUAUAUACUUUAACUUUUCAUGCUCCACUCAAAAAUCCUAAACGCUUGUUUUUUGGCCUUCAAAUGUCCAAUUCGACAAACUAAACUUUUCUUUUUGGUUUUUUGGGGGUCAGAAACUGGCCAAAGACAUCUAAUGAUAGCAUAUGGGGAUUUCAACAAAUUAUAAUAACUUUAAUUAAAAGGCACGAUUUGUAGGAGUGCAAUAUUCCAUCAUAUGAUUUGUAUAUUUUGUUAAAUCUGUAUGCAUUAAAUAUACUAGAUCAUUAUUGGUACAAUUCAAUGCCCUUAAAUAUUAGCUAACACAUUACACUCAUAAUUUCUUUACUUUCCUAAUGAGCUGGUUCUUCUCACAUGGUUGAAAGUCAAACCUUUUUUUAUAAACUUUUUUUUUGCACGAUGAAUCUUUUCAUCCUUCUCUUGUAGAAAAUAUUACUCUUUUUAAUAGUCAAAAAUGAAAUUGCGUUACCCACGUGGUUGUUUAGAAUUUAGUAAUAUUAGUUACAGGUAAGAGAAUUGAACCACUUUAUAGUCAACAUAGACUUGUAAUACAUUAAGAAAGUUCAAUAAUUAAAAAUGGUUACGCAAAAGGCUCAGAAACAAAAUUAUAAUAUCAAAAUAUUAUAAAAAAUUAUUCAUAUAUUAUACUCACAAAACUAAGAGAACUAAAUCAUUUUAACUUAGAUGAUAAUGCGUCUCAAUAUACCGUAGGGUUUCUAAUUACAGUAAAACAGUAACACACAUCAUUGUUGCCUUUUAAUGCUUCGAUCUCUCUUCGUAGGAUUUUAAUAAAUUAGGCGUUGAACGCUAGAUCUAAUGAUCCCACAGAGAGAAAGGUCACAACAGAUUAAAUUUUUGCUUCUUUUUAAAAUCAAUAUCCAAUAUCGAGCGCUUUCCUUUGUCGGUCAGUUUUUAUCUAAGGUAUCAUUUUCUUAGAAUUCAUAUUAGUCAUCAAUCAAAUUUUGAUAGUGAUACGCUUGUUCUCGAGCGAAUUAUACGAGUCGGCACAAACACAAAUUUGAAGGUCGAUCAAGAGAUAAAUAAACUAAUUAAGGAGUUGCACUCAUGCUACAUGGUGUACAAUAUUAAUUAGUCAUGUACAAUUUUAAAUGCAGUAGUUAAUAACUGGCGAUCUCAUAUAGUGUUUAUUUUAUUUUAUUAAUUUAUUUAUUUUGAGAGAGAGAGAGAGAGAGUGGUGCAUACGCUGCGUUGCUUCCACUCUGUAGACACCCUUUUCCUUCACCGUCCAUCAAAAUAUAAAAUUGCAAAAAGAGACGGUGGGUAAAGGUGAUUGAUUGCAUUUAGUUCUAUAGGACUUUUAAUUUAUGGUGCAAAUACUUUGGGACACGUGGUUUGACUUGUCAUUUGAGAGGGCACAGGAUUCGAGGGAAAAAAGAAGGUUGACUUCGCUGGCAAGAAAAUUAUCGUUGACUUGUAGUUAUAAACGACUAAGGUUGUGUUUUUGUUUCUUGUACAUUAAUCUCAAUUUUUUUUUAAUUAAUUGAAAAAAGAUAUUCCUUGUUUCGUGGCUGGUAAAUUUUUUUUUUUUCAGAUUUCAAAGCAAAACGUAGCCUUACGUUGCUGCAGCGAGCUUUUCGCUCUACCUGGUGGACGGUGUGAGAGAAGUNAAAAAAAAUGCGGCCUUAGUUUGCUGCAGCACGCGGUCCACUCUACCUCGUGGAUGGCGUGAGAGAGGUCAAUGGUAGACCUCUCUCUCCCUCUAUUAUUUUACAUAUAUGUAUGUAUGCAUGAUCGAUUUUGUACUCAUAAAUUAUUUUCAAUUAUAGAGAUUUUCAAUCGACGAUCCAUACCGUUAAAUAUUAUCUAAGAUAUUUAAAAUUUCUAUCAAAAUUGAUAGUUCUUAACAGCUGGUAUGCAAUACUUGCUAUUUUAACGGUGUAAAAUAAUCUGAGUCGGUUGAUAUUUUGAUAAAAAAUUCUAUUCACGGGGGGAUCUCAUAUAGUGUUUAUUUUAUUUUGUUAAUUUAUUUAUUUUGAGAGAGAGAGAGAGAGUGGCGCAUACGCUGCGCUGCUUCCACUCUGUAGACACCCUUUUCCUUCACCGUCCAUCAAAAUAUAAAAUUGCAAAAGCAUAUGGUGGGUAAAGGUGAUUGAUUGCUUUUAGUUCUAUAGGACUUUUUAUUUAUGGUGCAAACUACUUUGGGACACGUGGUUUGACUUGUUAUUUGAGAGGGCACAGGAUUCGAGGGAAAAAAGAAGGUUGACUUCGCUGGCAAGAAAAUUAUCAUUGACUUGUAGUUAUAAGCGAUUAAGGUUGUGUUUUUGUUUCUUGUACAUUAAUCUCAAUUUUUUUUUAAUUAAUUGAAAAAAGAUAUUCCUUGUUUCGUGGCUGGUAAAUUUUUUUUUUUUCAGAUUUCAAAGCAAAACGUAGCCUUAUAUACGUUGCUGCAGCGUAUUUUUAAAAACACUAAUAAUUUCUUGGUGCUUCUAAAUUUCUAGAUCUUAGAUCUAUUCCUUGAUUACUAAUAAUCUUUGUAUCAAAUACUAUUCCACCUACCACUACCUACCGCCAUUAUCUCAACUUCACAUAUCUCCAUUCAAUAGCUAAAAACUCAAAAGCACCACCUGGUGCUUUUGAGAGUAUUCUAUCUCAACUAUAUAUAUAUAUAUAUAUAUAUAUAUAUAUAUAUAUAUAUAUAUAUAUAUAUAUAUAGUGUGAGGCUAUUAUGCUAUCGGAAGUACGGGGCCUUUCAUGCUUCCAGCUCGUUUUCAAUGUUGCGAUUUUCGAAUCGUCGAUCGGCUCCGUUAAAUUUGAUCUAGAGUAUUUGAAGUACCUAUAAAAAUAAAUUUUAUGAUUUUAGGAUAUCAUUUGCCUAGUGAACCAUUCACCGCUUUUACAAAAAUUAUAAAGACGGUGAACGAUUCACCGUUUUUUUUAGGAAUCCCUGACGUGGCACCCACGUGGCGAAAUGAGGGUUAGUUUUAUAAAUAAAAUUUUGGUAGAGUUAUUUUGCCAAAAUCGAAUUUCUGGAGGGUUAUUUUAUAAAAAAGCCCGCUGGAUGGUUUGCGGUGAUUUUAAUUUCCAAAAGUCAAGACGAAUAAAAAGGCAGAUUGUGGAGCAAUGGUGGCAUGUAUGUUCAAUGAUUUUAUUCGGAAUCACGCGCUUCUGGAUCUACCAAUGGUAAAUCAACUUUUCACUUAGUUCAGUUUGCAACAUUCCAAACCUUACGAAAUUAGACCGUUUUCUUAUUUUGACCAAAUCGGAUUUGAAAUUUCCACUUUCACAUGUAGAAGCAAUCUCCAGAAUUAUUUCAGAUCAUUGCCCAAUCUUCAUUUCUAAUAGGGGUAAUGUUUUUAGGCUUGAAGGUCUAUGGUUGAAAAAUGAGAACUUUCUUGCAAGUCUCCUGGCUCGAUGGAAGAAAAUGGGACUCACGAUACUGUGGUGCUUCCGUUAAUGGCUAAACUGCGCCAUUGUCGUAAACGAAUACAGGACUGGUGUGGAACUAUCUAUACAAUAUCACGAAAACAAAGUCAGAAUUAUUGUAAGAAAUUCAUAUUACAGAUGGAAUGGAGGAACAAUAAGUCUUGACAAAGGAGUUUUUUUUUUUGAGAGAGAAAGAUAGCACGCUACCCGCUUUGUUUAUUUUAUUUAAAAAUAAAUUUAACUGAAAAUGUGAAUCAGCUAGGAUUCGAACUUGAGUCUCGGAUACCAAUCAUCAAGCCCUGUGCCACUUGUCCUUUGCCACUUGCUCUUGACAAAGGAGUUAAUUGACAGAAGGGUGAACCUCAAUUAAUGUAGAAACUCAAGUGUACUUAAGGAUGAAGAGGUGCUGCGAAAAACUCGGGCAAAACAAUUAAUGCUGACUCCGAAAAGGGGAUGAAACCGAGUUUUUUCACGCAAUAGCCAAUAACAGACGGCGCUCUAGUGAGAUCGGAGCGGUGGAAGACAACGGGUAGAUCCAAUGGCUAAAACUCUAAUAGCAUCAUGGGAAUAAUACUUGUAAAAGUAUUAUAGCUCAAUUAUAUAUAUAUAUAUAUAUAUAUAUAUAUAUAUAUAUAUAUAUAUAUAUAUAUAUAUAUAUAUAUAUAUAUAGAGAGAGAGAGAGAGAGAGNAUAUAUAUAUAUAUAUAUAUAUAUAUAUAUAUAUAUAUAUAUAUAUAUAUAUAUAUAUAUAUAUAUAUAUAAAAUCUUAUAUAUAUUAUUAGAAACUAUAUUUGA